UACGGAGGGUGCAAGCGUUAUCCGGAUUCACUGGGUUUAAAGGGCGCGUAGGCGGCGUGGUAAGUCAGUUGUGAAAUCUCCGAGCUUAACUCGGAACGGCCAGCUGAUACUGCUGUGCUAGAGUGCAGAAGGGGCAAUCAGAAUUCUUGGUGUAGCGGUGAAAUGCGUAGAUAUCAAGAGGAAUACCUGAGGUGAAGACGGGUUGCUAGGCUGACCCUGACGCUGAGGAGCGAAAGCCAGGGGAGCAAACGGG
rnacentral:rRNA from 1 species